UAGGCUGGGCUGGGAGGUGACAGCAGUAGACUGGGUAAGACAGGUUAGGCUGGGCUGUGAGGUGACAGUAAGUAGACUGGGUUAGACAGGUUAGGCUGGGCUGGGAGGUGACAGUAAGUAGACUGGGUUAGACAGGUUAGGCUGGGCUGGAAGGUGAGAGCAGUAGACAGGUUAGGCUGGGCUGGGAGGUGACAGUAAGUAGACUGGGUUAGACAGGUUAGGCUGGGCUGGGAGGUGACAGUAAGUAGACUGGGUUAGACAGGUUAGGCUGGGAAGUGAUAGUAAGUAGACUGGGUAAGACAGGUUAGGCUGGGCUGGGAGGUGACAGUAAGUAGACUGGGUUAGGCUGGGCUGGGAGGUGACAGCAGUA